GGGGAAUAUUGGACAAUGGGCGCAAGCCUGAUCCAGCCAUGCCGCGUGAGUGAUGAAGGCCCUAGGGUUGUAAAGCUCUUUCGGCGGGGACGAUAAUGACGGUACCCGCAGAAGAAGCCCCGGCUAACUUCGUGCCAGCAGCCGCGGUAAUACGAAGGGGGCUAGCGUUGUUCGGAAUCACUGGGCGUAAAGCGCACGUAGGCGGAUUGUUAAGUCGGGGGUGAAAUCCCGAGGCUCAACCUCGGAACUGCCUUCGAUACUGGCAAUCUUCGAGUCCGGAAGAGGUGAGUGGAGCUCCGAGUGUAGAGGUGAAAUUCGUAGAUAUUCGGAAGAACACCAGUGGCGAAGGCGGCUCACUGGUCCGGUACUGACGCUGAGGUGCGAAAGCGUGGGGAGCAAAC
rnacentral:rRNA from 1 species